rnacentral:rRNA from 1 species
CGCUGGCGGCGUGCCUAACACAUGCAAGUCGAGCGAGAAAGCUCCUUCGGGAGUUAGUAAAGCGGCGAACGGGUGAGCAACACGUGAGAAUCUACCCUUUAGUGAAGAAUACCCUCGAGAAAUCGAGGCUAAUACUGCAUACGUCCCUUCGGGGAGAAAGAUGGCCUCUUUGCUAUCGCUAAAGGAUGAGCUUGCGUACUAUUAGCUAGUUGGCGGGGUAAAGGCCCACCAAGGCAAUGAUGGUUAACCGGCCUGAGAGGGUGUACGGUCACACUGGAACUUAGACACGGUCCAGACUCCUACGGGAGGCAGCAGUGGGGAAUCUUGCGCAAUGCGCGAAAGCGUGACGCAGCAACACCGCGUGAGGGAAGACGGGCCUUAGGGUUGUAAACCUCUUUCAGAUGGGACGAAGGUGAUGCGGUGAAUAGCCGAUGUCAUUGACGGUACCGUCAGAAGAAGCUCCGGCUAACUACGUGCCAGCAGCCGCG